GUGGGGAAUAUUGGACAAUGGGCGCAAGCCUGAUCCAGCCAUGCCGCGUGUGUGAAGAAGGCCUUUUGGUUGUAAAGCACUUUAAGCGAGGAGGAGGCUCCUUUAGUUAAUACCUAAAGAGAGUGGACGUUACUCGCAGAAUAAGCACCGGCUAACUCUGUGCCAGCAGCCGCGGUAAUACAGAGGGUGCAAGAGUUAAUCGGAUUUACUGGGCGUAAAGCGCGCAGAGGUGGCCAAUUAAGUCAAAUGUGAAAUCCCCGAGCUUAACUUGGGAAUUGCAUUCGAUACUGGUUGGCUAGAGUAUGGGAGAGGAUGGUAGAAUUCCAGGGGUAGCGGUGAAAUGCGUAGAGAUCUGGAGGAAUACCGAUGGCGAAGGCAGCCAUCUGGCCUAAUACUGACACUGAGGUGCGAAAGCAUGGGGAGCAAACAGGAUUAGAUACCCUAGUAGUCC
rnacentral:rRNA from 1 species